GACGAACGCUGGCGGCGUGCUUAACACAUGCAAGUCGAACGGAAAGGCCCUGCUUUUGUGGGGUUCUCGAGUGGCGAACGGGUGAGUAACACGUGAGUAACCUGCCCUUGACUUUGGGAUAACUUCAGGAAACUGGGGCUAAUACCGGAUAGGAGCUCCUGCUGCAUGGUGGGGGUUGGAAAGUUUCGGCGGUUGGGGAUGGACUCGCGGCUUACCAGCUUGUUGGUGGGGUAGUGGCUUACCAAGGCUUUGACGGGUCGCCGGCCUGAGAGGGGGACCGGGCACAAUGGGACUACGGGAGGCAGCAGACUCCUAUAGGGGGCAACAGUGGGGAGUAUUACACAGUGAGCGGGCGCCGGAGAAGGAGGCGCUGCGGGCGGGAUGACGGCCUGCGGGGUAUGAACCGCUGUCGCUUGAGACGCAGCGGUAGUGACGGUACUGGAUGAAUAAGCACCGGCUAACUACGUG
rnacentral:rRNA from 1 species